ACCACGGAUUCUAAGACAAACUACUCCUGAACUUCUGAAUAUUGCACUAUAGAUACUGAACACAGAUAACUUGGUGUAGCUCUAGUCAUAUAUUUAUUACGAAAUUAUGAUAUCAACCAUUAAGACAUUUUAAAAUGAACAGAAUUUCAAUUUCACAAUAAUGGAUCAUAAUUCUCAAAGAACACAUAUGAUGAGUCUAUACCAGGUUAUAGCAACAGCGCUCCUUCUAAUGGUGGCCAUUACUAUGAAUCCUACAACUGCAACCACUACAACCAUCAAAGAUGCAUCAACAACUGGUGAACGCACUAAAACCGUCAAAGAUGGAUCAACAACUGGUGAACCCUCUACAACCAUCAAAGAUGCAUCAACAACUGGUGAACCCACUAAAACCGUCGCUGAUGCAUCGACAAAAACUGGUGAACAACUACAAACGUCACUGAUUCACCAAGAACAACUCGUGAUCCCACUACAACUACCAAUGAGUUAUCAAAAACUAAUGGUGAACCCAUUACAAUCGUUUCUUGGUCAUCGACAACGACUGGUGAACCCACCACAACGAUCAAUCAUUCAUCCAGAAAAACUGGUGAAAAAACUACAACCGUCACUGACACAUCGACAACGAAUGGUGAACACACUGCAACAGCCAUUGAUGCAUCGACAAAAACAGGUGAGGCCAAUACAACCGACAAUGAUUCACCACCAACAACUGGUGACCCCACUACAACUGUCACUAAUGCAUCGACAACUAUUAGUGAAAUCACUUCAAAAGGCACUGGCGCAUCAAAAACAACUUAUGCACCGACUACAACCAAAACAGGUGUUGUUAUCAAAAACAACUAGUGAACCCACUACAUCCGUCACUGAGACAACAAAAACCACUAGUGAACCCACUACAACUAACACUGUUUCAUCAACAACUGGUGAACGCACUACAACCAUCACUGUUGUGUCAACAACAACUGGUGAACCCACUACAACCAUCACUGGUGUGUCAACAACUGAUGAACCCACUACAACCAUCACUGGUGUGUCAACAACAACUGG